AUUUGCAUCACUUACAAUCCUCAACUCACACCCUAAAGCAUGAGCUGAUUGAAUAGCAGGGACAAUUCGAGGAUGAAUAGGAGUGCGUUUCAAGACCUCAACAAUGUCAUCAAUGGUUUUUCCCUGAGAAUGAAGCUCCUUCAUCAUCCUGUCCAUGAGAGAGUUCCAGGGCAUGGUAGGGAGAAGUUGAUUGAACAAGUCUGUAAAACCCAGUUCAUCAAUGACCCAAUUAUCGCUAUCAACAUCAAUAAUGGUCUUAUCAAAAUCAAAAACAACCACAAUUCCAGCCAUGGGACGUAACAGAAAGAAAAUACAAGAAAGGCAGGCAAGAAGAAGUUGGUGUUUUUAACAAG
rnacentral:misc_RNA from 1 species